rnacentral:rRNA from 1 species
AUUGAACGCUGGCGGCAUGCCUUACACAUGCAAGUCGAACGGCAGCACGGGUACUUGCACCUGGUGGCGAGUGGCGAACGGGUGAGUAAUAUAUCGGAACGUACCUUAUUGUGGGGGAUAACGCAGCGAAAGCUGUGCUAAUACCGCAUAAUCCCUAAGGGGAAAAGCGGGGGACCGUAAGGCCUCGCGCAAUUAGAGCGGCCGAUACCUGAUUAGCUAGUUGGUGAGGUAAAGGCUCACCAAGGCAACGAUCAGUAGCUGGUCUGAGAGGACGAUCAGCCACACUGGGAGUGAGAAACGGGCCAGACUCUUACGGGAGGGAGCAGUGGGAAAUUUUGGACAAUGGGGGCAACCCUGAUCCAGCAAUGCCGCGUGAGUGAAGAAGGCCUUCGGGUUGUAAAGCUCGUUUGUCAGGGAAGAAACAGCAGCUCUAACACAGUUUGCGAAUGACGGUACCUGAAGAAUAAGCAUCGGCUAACUACGUGCCAGCAGCCGCAGUAA